UGAUGAUUCUUAUAGACAACACUCUUGUUUUCAUGGAGUUUAGAGAUAAUAAUCAGACAGUAAGCAAACGUAAAUAAAUAAAAAGCACAUUGUGAUAGGUUCUAUACAAGGAAUUAAAGCAAAGUGAUAUAAUGAGAUUGAUGUGUAUGGAGAGGGUUACAUUUUAUUGGGUGUUCAUGAGAGACUUCGUUGGGGUAUGAUAUUUAAGCCCAGCUAUAAGCUGACAAGAAAAACUGCAUGUGAAGUCAGGGAAGAAAAAGUUCAGAAGAUAAAAUAGCUAUGACAAAGGCCUUUGGGCAGAAAUGGAAAGAGUGCCUCAGCUGGAACAGCAUGGCUAAGGAAGGGUAUGUCUGUCUGAAUAACUCCAUGACUUACUCAGGUAAUCGUAUCAGAAAACUUUCUGGCAAAGUUUAGAUUUAGGGGAUCUAUGGAGAUUUCUGUAUCCAUAACCACUUUCUGCAAUGCACACAUCUUAAUGCACAUAUCUAAUGCAGUCAGUCACAUUAUCAUUUUAGCUUUCUUUGUGAAUGAGAAAAAUUUCAUUUCCCCUCCUGUUUGCAGAUACAUAAAGUGAUAAAUGUGAUGGAAUGCUUUGUUAGCACCCUGCCACAUGGAAUAGUCCUCCUGGUUUGACUCUAUUUUCUCCUCUUCCUCUUAUUUAAAACUUAAGUGAUCUUCUUUGGUAUAGUACUGGGUAGAAUAUCAAUUUAAAAAUAAAAUAAAUAUAAUAUUUUAAAUGACGUUAAUGCUGUUCUGCUGAUAUUACUUCCAAAAUAAAAAAGUAGUCGGGACUAAUCCUGCCAAGUUUCACUGUAAAAUUAAGUAUUACUGUCUUAAUUAUCUGUGCUAGUAUGGAAAAUAAAUGGACUGCACACAUGAUUAUGGUGAUUAAGGAUGUUGUAUCAUUCUCAUUCACUUUUAGCCUAUUUUUUUCUUUUACUUUUUGAUAACUAAGAACCGAAUACUUGUUUUUUUGUUGCUUUAAAUCUGAGAUUCUUAAAUAAUGCAGGCAAAAAUAAUCACUACUACCAAUACCAAUCCACCUCCAGAAAAUGGGUAUUUCUGCCGUAUGAACAACUAGAGAAGGUACACCUGCAAGCUUCCAUCAUAAACAACCAGGGAAUGUAAAAGAGCAGCCUUUUUGUAGCAAAGCCAUACUGUAACUGAAAUAGCAAUCGCCUUCCAGAGAACAAAGGCACUGCCAUGAAAAGUCCAAGUAUUUGCUCUUUGGCAACAUUCCCCCAAUUCUGCAGACAUGUUUAGAAAGAAUGCCUACACCUCCUAUUCAGAAAUUAAAAGGCAGCUCUUCUAAGCUUUGAAAGGUAAUAUUUGGGUUGUAUCAGAGUCUGGCAUUUUAUUUCUUUGUUCUGCUUGGGAUUUCAUAUUGACAUACAAAUCAUUUAGUUUCUUUAAGUAUUUUAAAGUAAUGUCUUUAAAAUACUCUUUAAGUAAUUCUUUUAAGUGCUUUAAGUAUUAAAUGUAUAAGAUAGCUUUAGAUGUGGGGAUUAAAAGUGACAUGAGAGGAAAUUGUUAUCAUUUGAGAGGUUUUAUUUAAACAUCAUGAACUCACAUAGUAUUCACUAAGACUUUUAUUUUUAAGGUUCUCAAACCUAUGCAUUUAAAGAAUAAUUUUUAGCAAUUUUCAUAAUAUAAUAAAAAUUGAUGUUAUGUUUCCUUACACAUGAGAUUACUUCUUACAGGAACUCAAACGAGAAAGCAAAUGACAACAAAAAUACUUUCUUUCAGUAAUCAUGGAAGCACAGGGUUUUGGUAAGUUAUCACACAUAAUUUAAAGAAAAUCUGAGUGCAAAACAACCUUAUUUUAAACUAUAAUGUGGUCACUUUCUCCUCAGUUCUUGACUAUGGCUUCCCCCAUAGAUUUUGAUUUUCUUUCACUCAUCAUGUCCUAUUUAUUUGCAAGGUUAAAUUUUAUAAUAGUCUAAAUUUUAUUAACAUUUAAAAAUAUGAUUACCUCUCAGGAUUAUCAUUAUUACAAUAUCAUUCUUAAAUUACACCACACAGAUUAGAAAAAGAAUAAUCUGGCACACAGAGUCAGAUUGAGGUUCAGAUUUUGACCUUAACACUUAUAUAAUUUGUGGCCUCAGUUUUUGUGAUGGUUAAUAUUGAGUGUCAACUUGACUGGAUUGAAGGAUGCAGAAUAGUGCUCCUAGGUGUGUCUGCAAAGAUGUUGCCAAAGGAGAUUAACAUUUGAGUCAGUGGAAUGGGAGAAGCAGACCCACCUGCAAUCUGGGUAGGCACCAUCUAAUCAGCUGCCAAUGCAGCUAGAAUAAAGCAGGCAGAAGAAGGUAGAAAGGGCAGACUUGCUGAGUCUUCCAGCUUUCAUCCUUCUCCCAUGCUGGUUGUUUCCUGCCCUCAAACAUCAGACUCCUAGCUCUUCAGCUUCUGGACCCUUGGACAUAUACCAGUGGUUUGCCAGGGGGGUCUUGGGCCUUCAGCCACAGACUGAAAGCUGCACUGUUGGCUUCCCUACUUUUGAGAUUUUGGGGCUCAGACUGGCUUCCUUGCUCCUCAGCUUGCAGAUAGCCUAUUGUGGGACUUCACCUUGUGAUCCUGUGAGUCAAUACUCCUUAAUAAACUUCCCUUCAUAUACACAUCUAUCCUACUAGUUCUGUCCCCCUAGAGAACCAUGACUAAUACAGUCUGCUUAUAUGUAAAAUAGAAGUAAUGACUAACCAAAUUUUACUGAAUGUCUAAAAGUUACUUAAAAUGUGAAACCAGCCCAGUUGUCCAAUAGAAAUGAUGUUUAUAGAUUUUAGAAUAAACACAGAAAUGGACCCUUUUGGUCUUGAAACUCGAAACUUGUAUUUGUCUCAUCUGACUUCCUUCCUCAGGAAGCUGACUCACAGGCAAGGGACUAAAACCACAUCCAGAGAGUGAGAUGUCAGACUCCUCAUUCAUUAUUACUACUCCCGUACCCCUCCCUAAUUUCUUUCAACACUGUAGUGACAUUUCUUCUCCUGCUAUAUAAAUACCCCAAUUUUAGUUGCUCAGAGAGGUGAAUGUGAGAUUAUUCUUCUGUUCUCCCAUUUGACAUCACCCGAAUAAAAAAGCUUUCUUUCCUGACAAUACUUGUUGUCUCAGUGAUUGGCUUCCUGUGCCAGUAGCAACGGGACCUGGACCAAAUGUGGGGUUUCCAUAACAACUAUAGCUUUUCUCCAACAGUAUACAGGCCAGGUGUGGUGGCUCAUGCCUAAAGCCCAGCACAUUGAGAGGCCAAAACAGGAGGAUCUCUUGAGCCCAAGAGUUCAAGGCUGCAGUGAGCCAUGAUUAUGUCACUGCAGUCUAGCCUGGGAAAGAGUGAGGCCGUGUCUCAAUCAAUCGAUCAAAAUAAAAUGGUACAUAUCAUUUCCCUCUUCAAAUCUAUUACUUCUCCAAAAUUUCUCUUUUAGUAAGGUACAAAACAGUCUACAUAGUUUUCCAAAUAAUAAAUCAGAAGUCAUAAUUAAUUCCUGGACCAAAUUACCCCUGGACUGGGCCAAUCUAAACAUCCAGUCACCCAGGUCUGAUAAUGUUCCACCUGGACACAUCCUAAAAAUCCCCUCCUCUUCCCUUCCUCCUCUGCCACCUCAUAGUAUGGGCCACAACUCUAUUUCAUGCAAACUGCUCUUUACCCCCUUUACUGAUCUGGCUGCCUCUAGCCUUGCUCCUCUCAUAUCCAUUCUCCACUCUGCUGCCAUAGUAAUUCUAAAAAUGCCUCCAUGAUUGUGUGACUUUCCAGUUUAACACCCUUCAAAUAUUUCCCUUUGUUCUUGGAAUAGAAACAGACUCCUUAAAGUGGUUCACAGGGCAGCCUAUGAUCUGGCCCUUCCUCCCCUUCCAGCUUAUGUCUUGCAUUCUUUGUCUCUGUUAGCUCCGUGGACUCCCCAAGCUAUCUCUCCGAUCUGUUCCUUUACCUGGAAGACUCUGGUAUCUUCUUUAUCUGGCUAAAUCUUACGCAUAUUCAGGUUUCUAUUAUCAAUUCUUCCACAGGGUUUUUAUGAUGCCAACUUAGGCCUACAUCACCCUGCAUUCUCAAGAAACACUUAUUAAAUUACUUGUUACUUAUAAAAAUUACUUAUAAAAUUGUUUAUUAAAAGUCACUCUUCCCCAUUAGUAUAUGGGGAUAAAUAUGAUGGCAGCUGAGAGAGAACAGAAGAGGGGAGAAAAUCAGGAUUUUGAGGCCGUGGCGUCUACAGAAAAAGCUGUGCAGUAACCUCCUUCCCCUCCUCCUCUUGCCCCACAGGGAAGAGUAUUGCACCUGUCCUCAUCUCAAAUCCAGUGAGGGAGGUUUCCACUGUGCUAUGUGGAGUAUAUGUGCUAUGUAGGGAGUUUAUUAUAUGACCUAUGUAAUAGGAGAGAAGUGGAAAAAUAUAGCAUAACUCCCACCUAAGAAAUUUGGAGAGUAAGAACAGGUUAAUCAUUUUUGUGGUGGAAACAGCCUGCCUUCUCUCUGUGUCUGAGUAAAGCAUGCAUGAAGGUUUUUGCUGGAACAGAUGUAGGCCACAUAGGAUAAAAAGAAGAGGUCUGGGACCAUUUUAAGUUCUGUUUCAGAAAACAACCUGGAAAGGAGAAGAAUGCUUAAGAACCAAGAUUGAGUGGAAAAAGCUACCAGCAAAACCAGGGCUGGAAGGACUGGACAACCUGGGGAGUAGAAAAGAGUUUCUACUGGAAGAAAACUAGUGAUGGGAAUAUUUGAAAAACUCAGGAUAAAAUGUGGUUUCUUCUAGCAGGUCCCAGGCCAUCUUCACCAAAGAAACUCUUGUGCUUCCAUUUUCUCUUCUUCCCUCUCCAGUGCCAAUCCUAGAGUGCCAAAAGCUAUAGGAAGUAAGCUGCGUGGGGAGAGCAGAAAAGGGACAAAAGCCAUCAGAUGCUUUUUCUGGAAGAUGCUGGCUGCCAAACAGUGGCCUCAACUGUCAGAGAAGGAGAGGAAGUAUUACCUUAGAAUAAGGAUGAAAGUAUUGAUUAAUAUUUUGGAGUCCAAGAUGGCCGAAUAGGAACAGCUUGAGUCUACAGCUCCCAGCGUGAGCAAUGCAGAAGAUGGGUGAUUUCUGCAUUUCCAAAUGAGGUAUCAGGUUCAUCUCACUGGGGCUUGUAGGACAGUGGGGGCAGGACAGUGGGUGCAGCCCACUGAGCGAGAGCCAAAGUAGGGUGAGGUAUCUCCUCACCCGGGAAGCAUAAAGGGUCAGGGAAUUCCCUUUCCUAGCCAAGGGAAGCAGUGACGGAUGGCACCUGGAAAAUCGGGUCACUCCCACCCUAAUACUGUGCUUUUCCAAUGGUCUUAGCAAAUGGCACACCAGGUUAUACUCCGCACCUGGCUCGGAGGGUCCCACGCCCACAGAGCCUCACUCAUUGCUAGCACAGCAGUCUGAGAUCGAUCUGCAAGGCAGCAGUGAGUCUGGGGAAGGGGUGCCCGCCAUUGCUGAGGCUUGAGUAGGUAAACAAAGCGGCCAGGAAGCUCGAACUGGGUGGAGCCCAUGACAGCUGAAUGAGGCCUCCGUGCUUCUGUAGACUCCACCUCUGGGGGCAGGGCAUAGCCAAAAGGCAGACUUAAAUGUCCCUGUCUGACAGCUUUGAAGAGAGUAGUGGUUCUCCCAACACAGAGUCUGAGAUCUGAGAAUGGAUAGACAGCCCCCUCAAGUGGGUACCUGACCCCCGAGUAGCCUAACUGGGAGGCACCCUCCAGUAGGGGCAGACUGACACCUCACACAGCCGGGUACCCCGCUGAGAUGAAGCUUCCAGGGGAACAAUCAGGCAGCAACGUUUGCUGUUCAGCAAUAUUUGCUGUUCUGCAGCCACCACUGCUGAUACCCAGGCGAACAGGAUUUGGAGUGGACCUCCAGCAAACUCCAAAAGACCUGCA
rnacentral:lncRNA from 10 species